GACGAACGCUGGCGGCGUGCCUAAUACAUGCAAGUCGAGCGGACCAAAGGGAGCUUGCUCCUGGAGGUUAGCGGCGAACGGGUGAGUAACACGUGGGCAACCUGCCUGUAAGACUGGGAUAACAUCGAGAAAUCGGUGCUAAUACCGGAUAAUAAAAAGAACUGCAUGGUUCUUUUUUGAAAGAUGGUUUCGGCUAUCACUUACAGAUGGGCCCGCGGCGCAUUAGCUAGUUGGUGAGGUAACGGCUCACCAAGGCGACGAUGCGUAGCCGACCUGAGAGGGUGAUCGGCCACACUGGGACUGAGACACGGCCCAGACUCCUACGGGAGGCAGCAGUAGGGAAUCUUCCGCAAUGGACGAAAGUCUGACGGAGCAACGCCGCGUGAGUGAUGAAGGUUUUCGGAUCGUAAAACUCUGUUGUUAGGGAAGAACAAGUGCCGUUCGAAAGGGCGGACGACCUUGACGGUACCUAACGAGAAAGCCACGGCUAACUACGUGCCAGCAGCCGCGGUAA
rnacentral:rRNA from 1 species